rnacentral:lncRNA from 1 species
CUUCCUCCUUGUGCCCCGAAGGCCAGCCCGGCACUCAGGCCACUGAGGUCCUAAGCGUCCUUCCAGGCGAGCCACUGCUCACAGCCUGUUCCUCAUGUUCUGCGGCAGGUUUGUGUAUCUACAUCUUUUCCAGUUCCCUGUCGUCCCCCUUCCUACACCUCGUCAUCCACUAUCCCUGUUUGUUUUCUCUGUUCCUUUCUAGUUCUCUACCUGCUCCUCUUAUUUUUAUUUGAGACAGGGUCUUUCUUUGUCACUGAGGCUGGAGUGCAGUGGCACAAUCCCAGCUCACUGGAGCCUCGACCUCCCAGGCUCAAGUGAUCCCCCGCCUCAGCCUCUUGAGUAGCUGGGACCACAGGCAUGCAUCACCACACCAGGCUAAUUUUUUAUUUUUUGUAGAGAUGGGGUCUCACUGUGUUGCCCAGGCUGGUCUUGCACUCCUGGGCUCAAGAGAUCCUCCCACCUUGGUCUCCCAAAGUGCUGGGAUGCCAGGUGUGCACCGCCAUCCUCGGCCUUACUCUUCUCUUCCUCUCUCAGCCCCUCUGCCUCACUAUCCCUCUUUCUGUGCCCUCCCCCACACAGCCCCCCACACUUCUUCUUAGUCUCAUCUUCAGCUUCCCAUACGAGGCCAUCCUCAUGAAAUCAGGCACUGGGAGGUCCCUGGGGACUGACAAGUGCCAGCUGUCCCUUGCUGUCUCUCUGCCCCAUGGCUGCAGCAGGGAGGGUGGGCAAAGGGCAGAGGUGACAGUGGCCAAACCUGAAACUGAGGCCCAGCUCUGGUUGGGAAAGAAACAAGGAAACAAAAUAACUUGGGGACAGAGGGCGUGGGGUCAUCAGAGCGGGCAAAGGCUGCCCAGGAGUUGUAAAUCCGAGCCGCUCCCGGCUUUAUGAGGCCGAUUUGGGGUUGAGCCUGGACUUUGCCCAGGAAGGAGUGCUGGCAGCACACGGGGCGCCAGGUGUGGGCCCCGGAUGAUAAGAAGCCUCGGUGAAAAGACCAUGGACCUGGGGCCACGAAGACUGGGGAGCCCAGGUGAGUGGGCAUGGGACACUCUCCAGAGCCCUGCCGAAGGCGGACGCCAGGCAGGGCCCCGGUCUCCAAUUGGUUCCCGCCCCCUGUAACAGCAACUCCAUGUGGAAGUGCCCACUGGUUCCAGUGGGGCUGCUGUUAUCUGGGGCGAGGGCCAGUACCCACGAAGAAGGAGAGGCAGGUGCUGGCCAGCAGACCAGCCAGGACUACCGUGGCGACGCUCCCAGGCCAGAUGGUGGCGGGUAGUGGAGGGCUGUCGGUGGGCUGCCGAGACCGAGUGCACAGGGCUCUGACCUAUGAAUUGACAGCCAGUGCUCUCGUCUCCCCUCUGGCUGCCAAUUCCAUAGGUCACAGGUAUGUUCGCCUCAAUGCCAGCCACCAGGACCUGCAGGGAUAGGGGAGGGCCGGGGGUGUCCAGCAGUCAGCAGAGAUCCUGCGACCCCAGUGCAGCACUCAUGGUCCCACCUCCCUCUGUCUCAUUCCCCGUGAAUGAGCCUGAACAGCUUCAGUCCUGCCCCUGCCCUGCCUGCCCUGUGGCACCUCUAUGCUUUGCCCAUGCUGUUCCCUUGGGCUGCAAUACUCUUCCUAGCUUAUUUGCCAGGCUCACUCUUACUAACCCUUUCAAGCUCUGUCCAAGCAUUUGCUGCCUCCAGAAGGCCUUAUUGAAGCUUCUAAGUCCCCACCUGGGCACCCCCACACAGUGCUGCCGCAGAGCACUGCCCUCUCGGAGCCCCGGUGCUGGUUUCUGCUUAUGUCUCGCUCCUCUCCCCAUCUGUGAGCUCAGUUCCCAGCCCAGGCGCGUGCCCAAUAAAUGUUUGCUGAACCAAUCCUGAGCCUCUGUCUUGCACCCUGAGGAAGCACCCACCGACAUGCAGUGUGGCCAAGGGGGGCUGAGUGCUCUAGGCCCAGUGUUUGUGCUGGAGCCCCCCCACCCAGGAUGGGGCCCUGAGCCAGCCUCCCCAUCUGCUUCCUACUCUCCCCUCCUUUGCCAGUCUCAUCUCCCUGGAGCACAGCCCUGUGGUUGGUGGAGCAGCUUCUCCAGCCCCUAGGAUUCCUAAGAGGGCCCAGGACCCCAGCUGCUGGUAGAGGAAGAGCAGCCAACCCAGGACAGGACAGCUGACCCCACCCCUGUCCCGCCUCCCACAACAGCCUCAUUUCCACCUAUUUCUUUGUGGUGUUUGUUUGUUUGUUUUGAGACAGAGUCUUGCUCUGUUGCCCAGGCUGGAAUGCAACAGGCUUCCUCCCAGGAGGAAGCCUCCCCUCCUGGCAUGAUCUCAGCUCACUGCAACCUCUGCCUCCUGGGUUCAAGCGAUUCUCCUGCCUCAGCCUCCCAAAUAGCUGAGAUUACAGGCAUGCACCACCAUGCCCAGCUAAUUUUUGUGUUUUUAGUAGAGACUGGGUUUCACCAUGUUGGCCAGGCUGGUCUCGAACUCCUGACCUCAGAUAAUCUGCCCACCUCGGCCUCCCAGAGUGCCGGGAUUAUAGGUGUGAGCCACCGCGCCCAGCCCCACCUGUUUCUUAUACAACGGGGUUCUGAGGAAAUUUUCCUUUUUUUUUUUUUUUUUUUUUGAGACAGGGUCUUGCUCGCUUUGUCACCCAGGCUGGAGCGCAGUGGUACAAUCACAGCUUGCUGCAGCCUCCACCUGCCAGGGCUCACACAGUCCUCCCAUCUCAGCCUCCCAAAUAGCUGUGACUACAGGCACGUGCCACCAUGCCUGGUUAAUUUUUGUAUUUUUCGUAGAGAUGGGGUUUCACCAUGUUGCCCAGGCUGGUCUCAAAUUCCUGGCCUCAAGCAGUCCUGCCUCAGCCCCCCAAACUGCUGGGAUUACAGGCAUGAGCCACUGUGCCCUGUCAGAAUUUUUCAUUUGAAUAAAAAGGUUUCUGGUACUACAAAAUAAAAUUUGUAAAAUGGGAAAUAGAGACCUAGGAAUAAAUGUCAAAUUGCUUAAUAACAGGCGUUGGCUAUUGAGCCCUUUCUGUCUGCUGGGCACGCACAUCCAGGACCUGGUCCUCCUGGCAUCCAUCAUGAACCUGUUUGGGACAGGAGGACACAGGCUCAGAGAGGGUGCACAUUUGCUGAAGUCACAGAGCAAGUUGGACCUUCUCCUGGGGACUGUAGGCAGCCAACAAACAUCUGGCCCCUAAGACACUGUCUCUCUCCCCUUCCCACAGGCAGCUCUGCUCACACUGUCCUGGCUGCUCUGAAUCCCUGGGCCCCGAUUGGCCCCUGCCGUGGCCCAGCUCAGCAACCCCUCCCUGCAGACCAUCCCAUGACUCUGCAGGCGCUGCUCCCCUCUCUGCCCACACCCCGGCUUCGUGGGCCUCUCCCGCCACCCUUAUCUCAUUCCCUACAGAGUUAAGGAGCCCUGUGUGCUUAUCUAAUCCUGUGCUAGUUUCAGACUCCUUGAGGGCAAGGUCCAUGACUUACUCAUCCUCCCUGGCUGCUUCCCCCACCCACCAGCAUAGUAGGUGUUCAGGAUACAUGGGCUGGAUGGUAGGGCCCUGGACUCUAACCCUCUUGGGGCUGUCAGGCCUCAGACUCAGAGCACUGGCAUAGGGUGAAAGGGGAGCAGACAGCAGCCACCCUGCCCUGGGGGUCCUCCUGCAUCUGCCUCUGCAGAGCACUGCGAUCCCACAAAGGCCUGCGAGGGCUAUUGGAGACCUGUUCCAAUGCAUGAGCAAGGCGGAUCCAGCACCCUCCCCCAGCUCCUUGAGCCCACUGACCUGUGUCCUUUACCCAGCAGGCCCUGGGCCCAUGCACAUUUCCCUGGCCUGGGUCUCACCUCCAACCCCUCUCAGAACUCCUCAAGACCUGCCCAAGGGUCACUCCCUCGCGGACACCUGCCUGGCCCCCCGCCCCGCCCCCCAUUACCCCACUCACUGGCUCCCUGGAUGCUCUGUGGCUGGGAUGUUAGCGCCCCCAUCAUGCCCCAUCACCCACACCGGGCUAUUUCCCCCACCAGCCUGAAAGCCCCCAGGAGUGGCGGCCACUGACUUUUUUCCUGUAGCCUCAGACUCAAAGGAGGCACUUAAUAAAUGCACACAGAAGGACUGACCUUGUGCAUGAGCAAAGUUGCUUAGGGAGGGAGCCUAGACACAGUGGGGCGGUCAGCACAGAGCUGGCGGUGGGAGGCCUCAGUAGUAUUGUCUUUGUCCCAUCGUCCACACCACACGUGUGUGAAACGCUACGCUGACAGAGGCCCUGAGAGGUUGUGCAGAUUGACCGUACGCCAGCCUCAGAGAGAGAAGGCCCAGGCGGGGAGGAGUAAAGCCUCCCUGGGAGAGGUGAGUGUGAGGUCGGCGUUUGCUGAGGUGAACCCCAGAAACAGGUCGUGAUCACUGGAGGAGGAAGGAAUGCCAGGGGCAAAGAUGCAGAAACCGGACGGAGGCGCGGGGCGGGCGGGGACAGCUUCCUCUUCUGCAAGGCUUACUCCCGGUGGCCACCACUAGGGGGCGCCCCGGGCACCCCUCCCAAGCGGGGCGGGGCCAACCCUCCCCACCGCGCGGCUCCCAAGGCCUGGGGGAGCAGCCCCUGGGUUCGCCUUCCCCGGGCCGCCUAGAACUGCGCCUGGCCUGGCCAGGACACUGUCCUGGGCCUAGGGCACAGCCCAGGUGCCAGCGUCCUACACACAGUUGCGGGUCCCAGGCGCGCACUGCCUUACCCAAGGUGGCCCUGGUGGGGCUCUUCCCGCUGUGGUGUGUAUAAAACAUCACUGUAUAAUGUAUAUUCAUAGAAUUCACAAUGAGUCCCCAUGUAACAACCUGCAGAGCCCCCAAAUAUGCCCUUCCAGGUCCCCCCCGCCCAUGGUCAGCACAGUUCUGAGUGUUAAGGUAAUCACUUCCUCUCCUUUCUCUGGGAUUUACUACCCCGUACACUUUCCCAAACAGUCUGCGAGCAUUUUGUCUGGCUUUCUUGUUAUUAAUGUAAAUGGAAUCACGGUGCCGUGUCUGGCUGAGUCUCAUGCAGUUGAUGGAGCCGAAGCUUCUUCACUCUUGUUCACUGCUGUAUAGUGAAGAGAACACUUGGGGUUAUUAUGAGCGCUGUUAUUAUGAGCACUGUUGGGAUUAUAAUGAGUAUUGUAAUGCACAGAUUCUACUGCAGGGUGCUUCUCCAGCAGGGGCUGUCAGGUCAUGGAGUGGUGGACCUAACACUGGACCAGGCCACAUGGUGUGCCUAAUAAAGGACAGCUGGGUACAGGCCUUUUUUUGAUUUUGUUUUUCUUUUUUUUUUUGAGACGGAGUCUCAUUCUGUUGCCCAGGAAUGCAGUGGCUUGAUCUCAGCUCACUGCAAGCUCUGCCUCCCGGGUUCAAACGAUUCUCCCGCCUCAGCCUCCCGAGUAGCGGGGAUUACAGGCACCCACCACCAUGCCCAGCUAAUUUUUGUAUUUUAGUAGAGAUGGGGUUUCACCAUGUUGGCCAGGCUGGUCUUGAGCUCCUAAUCCCAGGGGAUCUGCCCACCUCGGCCUCUCAAAGUUCUGAGAUUACAGGCGUGAGCCACCGUGCCCGGCUGUCUUUCUGUUUUUCUUUUUGACAAUGAUGACAGCUUCAGAAAAGUUGCAAGAAAAGUACGAACAACAUCCAUAUACUGUUUAUUUUGAUUCAUUGACAGUUAACACUUUGCAAUUAUAUAUAUAUACACAUAUUUAUAUAUAUACAUAUAUAUACACAUAUUUAUAUAUAUACAUAUAUAUACACAUAUUUAUAUAUAUACAUAUAUAUACACAUAUUUAUAUAUAUAUACAUAUAUAUAUAUACACAUAUUUAUAUAUAUAUACAUAUAUAUACACAUAUUUAUAUAUAUAUAUACAUAUAUAUACAUAUUUAUAUAUAUAUAUAUACACAUAUAUAUAUAUUUUUUGAGACGGAGUUUCUCUCUUAUUGCCCAGGCUGGAGUGCAAUAGCGCUCACUGCAACCUCCGCCUCCCAGGUUCAAGCAAUUCUCCUGCCUCAGCCUCCCGAGUAGCUGGGAUUACAGGCAUGCGCCACCACACCUGGCUAAUUUUUGUAUUUUUAGUAGAGACGGGGUUUCUCCAUGUUGGUCAGGGUGUUCUCGAACUCCCGACCUCAGGUGAUCUGCCCGCCUCGGCCUCCCAAAGUGCUGGGAUUACAGGCAUGAGCCACCAUACCCGGCCUGCAAUAAUAUUUGCUCCCUUUUCUCUCUCUCUCUCUGUCUGGCACCCACAUACACACAUACACACACACAUAUUUUCUGAACCACGGGAGAGUAAGUUACAUAAGUCCUAGCCCUUUACCCUUAAAUAUUUCAACAUGUAUCUCCUAAGAAAAAUGACAUUUCUUACGCAACCACAAGACAAGUACCAAAUUCAGGCCUGAUGACAGUGAUGCAAUGCUAUUAUCUAACGUACAGUCCACUUUCAAAUGUCUCUGAUUGUCCCAGUCUGCCAGGACCACGCUUCACAUCUGGUGUCAGCUCUCCUCAGUCUUCUUUAAUCCAGAACCAUCCUCAGCCUUUCUUUGUUUUUCAAGACCUUGAUAUUUUUGAAGAGUCUAGAUCAGUUGUUUUGUAGAGUGUUUCUCAUCUUUUUCUCUCCAUUUCCCCCCAAUUAAACAAGUCAAGUACAUCCAUUAUAUACAUUUGGACAACAUAGAAAAGUAAAUAAAAAUUGCCCCAGUUCCUACGAUGCAGGGAUAACCCCGUAGACACUUCCUGUAAUCACUGAGUAAGCUGACUCACUUGUUCUACGCACUCUGUGCACAUGAACUCAUGUCAUCCUAGGAGGCGGGUGCUUUUGUUAUCUCUUGAGUGCCUUGCUAAAGAUCAUAUGGUCUGUAGGAUUUGAUCCUGAACAGUCUGCUCCAAAGCCCAUGCACUUGGCCUUUAUGCUAUACUGCUUCUCAAUAAUGGCCAGCCACGUGCGUGUGGCGUGCGCGCGCUCAUCAGGAUGCCUCAGCUUCUGCCCUAUUGGCAUUUCGGGCAGGGUAAUUCUCUGCUGUGGGAGUGCCCUGUGUGUUGUAGGAUGGUCAGCAGCAGCCUUGUCCUCUGCCUAGUAGAUGCCAGCAACAAUCCCCAAAAUAAUCAUACCAAGAAUGUCCCCGGGGGAGCAAAAUCACACCCAGCUGAGAAUCACUGUGUGGGGUGUGUGUGUGUAUGUGUGUGUGUGUAGCCAGGUGAUGCUGUAUUCCCUUCUGAAAUCUAUCCCAGUGAUUGGUACUCCAUGGUCACUUUUGGGUCCUUCCAUUUUCUUCUCUGGUCCCAUGUCUAGUGGCUGCCAGGUGUUGCCUGUGAAGGGACUCGUGGAUCGACAAAAAGACAAAUCUAUUGCAGUAGCUACCUUCUACUGCUACACAACAAAGUGCCACAAACUUUGUGGUUUAGAACCGCCCCCAUUUAUGAGCUCCUGGUUCUGUAGGUUGGAAGUCUGGGCCCAGCAUGACUGAGUUCUGUUCUCAGAGUGUCAGAUGCUGAAGGAAGGUGGCAGCCAGGCUGCCCUAUCACCGGGAGGCAGGGGAAGGAAUCUGUCUCCAAGCUCAUUCUUGUUGGCAGAAUCCGGUUCCUUGCAUCCAUAGGACUGAGGUCCCCGUUUCCUUGCUGGUGGUCUGCUGGGGCCCCUCUCAGCUCCUAGAGGUCACCCACAUUCCUUUCCACAUGGUGUCCCCCAGGCUGGAGUGCAGUAGCACAAUCAUGGCUCGAAGCAGCCUCAACCUCCCUGGCUCAGGUGAUCCUCCCACCUCAGCCUCCUGAGUAGCCGGGACUACAGGUGCAUGCCACCACACCCAGCUAAUAUUUUGUAUUUUGGGUAGAGAUGGGAUUUUGCCAUGUUACCCAGGCUAGUCUUGAACUCCUGGGCUCAAGUGACCCACCCCCUCAGUCUCCUAAAGUGCUGGGAUCACAGGUGUAAGCCACUGUCCAGCCAGCUCUGCUUUCAGAGGGCUCAGUGAGCUGGGGGGCCCACUGGGAUUAUCUCCCUUUGUACAGUGGACUGCACCAUCUAACACCGCAUGUCAUGGAGUAAGUCACCAGAUCCGCAUUCCCAGCAUUACACUGGAUAUGUACACCAGGGGUGGGGGAUCUUGCAGACAUCCUGAAAUUCUGCUUAAUGAUGACCAAAGGGCAAGAGAGGUGUUUCUGGGACAGGACAUGGAGCCAAGGGGCAGGGGACCAGGUUGGGUGAGCAGGAGACGGAGGCCUGACCCCACCUCUGAGAGGGUCCCACUAUAUUCCUGCCCUCGGGGACACCCCAACAUGUACCUCUAGGAGCAAGCAUGGUGCCUGGGCAGACGUGGGCCUCAGGGGAGGGUUCUGGUCUCCAGUCUCCUUGCAGAUGGAGCGUCACCAUGUUCUGUACUUAAGGGCACAGUAAAGAAGCUGCAGGUGAGAGGAAUGUGGCAGCUGGGCCACAGGACGGGGAGGGAGACUGAGUGUCGGCAGACAGGCGGGCUGGGGGACCACCAUGUACCACCCCAAGUGACCUACAAAGAGACUUUAAUUUGGGGGGAUGGAGGAGGGAGGUGUUCGCCCAGCAGAGGGGACAGGAGGGUGGCCUUGGGCACGAUGUUUGACUCCUGAGGUGUGGGAGUGAGGAGCUGGGCUUGUUGAAGAUGGGCUGGGCUCUGUGCCCUGGUGGCUGAGUGUGACACAGAGUUGGGGACAGAAUUACCCUCCAGCCCCCCAGCCUGUGAGCCCAUGGUGAGGCUCAGGGCCACAGCAGGGCAAGGCCAAGGCAAGGGAGAGGCAGCUGGAGCAGAACUUGGGCAGGCUCGUUCUUGCACACACGAGACACACUUCAGAGCCCCCGGAAAUGCAGAGGGGCCGUGUGCACGGCAGCAGUCUGCACUCAUACAAGGGAGGCUAAGACCAUGCACCUCACUUGUACUCUCAGGCUGCUGAGGCUGGGGGACAAUGGGGUUACACUCUCCAUUUCAUUAGUGUAGGGCAAGGGGGACCCCAGCACCCCACAAGGGACCCCCUAAUGUUGUCACCACAGAAGGCGAUUGCUUAUGUGCCAAAUAAUAAGCCAUUUCCUGUGGAGUCAGGCAAAGGCCUGGGCCCUCCAAUAAGUUUAGGGCAAACCCUGCACCCUGCACUCAGCGGCAGCCCCAGCCUCAUCAGCCCCAGCAAGGCAGGGCCAGAAGCUGCAGGGACUGAGACACACACACAGAAAACUGGCAGGUGAACUAGAGCUUUUACUGAAAGUGCUCAGAGACCUAUAAGUCUCAGCUCUGCAAAGCACUGUGCAGUUAUAUGUGUACAUCAUCCUGAUAAAUGUGUAAGCCUGUCCCCCAGGCUGCAGAGCAGCAAAGGGGCUAGGAAGGGCUGGUGAGCUUCAGGGCAGAGAUUCACUUCAGCCUGCAUCUGGGGAAGAGGCUCUUGAAACCCUCUUUCUCUGCUUUUCCACCUGCCCGUCCUUGCAACUUCAAGUGGCUGGAGUGUGGAAAGGGCAGUGUUAAGAUUCAGAAGGCCCUGGCCAGGCGUGGUGGCUCACACUUGUAAUUCCAGCACUCUGGGAGGCCGAGGCAGGCAGAUCACAAGGUCAGGAGAUCAAGACCAUCCUGGCUAACAUGGUGAAACCCCAUCUCUACUAAAAAUAGAAAAAAUUAGCCGACGGGCAUGGUGGUACACGCCUGUAGUCCCAGCUACUCGGGAGGCUGAGGCAGGAGAAUCACUUGAACCCGGGAGGUGGAGGUUGCAGUGAGCCAAGAUCACGCCACUGCACUCCAGCCUGGGCAACAG